rnacentral:rRNA from 1 species
GGACCAAGGAGUCUAGCAUGUGCGCGAGUCAUUGGGACUCUAACGAAACCUAAAGGCGUAAUGAAAGUGAAGGUCCGCCUAGCGCGGGCCGAGGGAGGAUGGGUGUCCCCGAGGGGACGCCUCGCACUCCCAGGGCGUCUCGUUCUCAUUGCGAGAAGAGGCGCACCAAGAGCGUACACGCUGGGACCCGAAAGAUGGUGAACUAUGCCUGGUCAGGACGAAGUCAGGGGAAACCCUGAUGGAGGUCCGUAGCGAUUCUGACGUGCAAAUCGAUCGUCGGAACUGGGUAUAGGGGCGAAAGACUAAUCGAACCAUCUAGUAGCUGGUUCCCUCCGAAGUUUCCCUCAGGAUAGCUGGCGCUCGCUUCUCGCGAGUCUCAUUCGGUAAAGCGAAUGAUUAGAGGCAUUGGGGUCGAAACGGCCUCAACCUAUUCUCAAACUUUAAAUGGGUGAGAUCUCCGGCUUGCUUGAACUGUGAAGCCGCGAGAUAUCGGAUCAGAGUGCCAAGUGGGCCACUUUUGGUAAGCAGAACUGGCGCUGUGGGAUGAACCAAACGCUGAGUUAAAGCGCCUAAAUCGACGCUUAUGGGAUACCAUGAAAGGCGUUGGUAACUUAAGACAGCAGGACGGUGGCCAUGGAAGUCGG